rnacentral:rRNA from 1 species
UACGUAGGGGGCAAGCGUUGUCCGGAUUUAUUGGGCGUAAAGAGCGUGUAGGCGGCUAGGUAGGUCCGUUGUGAAAACUCGAGGCUUAACCUCGAGAUGUCGGCGGAAACCAUCUGGCUAGAGUCCGGAAGAGGAGAGUGGAAUUCCUGGUGUAGCGGUGAAAUGCGCAGAUAUCAGGAAGAACACCCGUGGCGAAGGCGGCUCUCUGGGACGGUACUGACGCUGAGACGCGAAAGCGUGGGGAGCGAACAGG